rnacentral:rRNA from 1 species
AGAGUUUGCNCCUUUAAUCAGAACGAACGCUGGCGGCGUGCUUAACACAUGCAAGUCGAGUGCGCGCCUGUAGCAAUACAGGUGGCGCACGGCGCACGGGUGCGUAACACGUGGGUAAUCUGCCCUCUGAUGGGGAAUAACUCGCCGAAAGGCGAGCUAAUUCCGCAUAACAUUCCGGGGACUUUGGUUCUUGGAUUCAAAGGCGUAAGUCGUCGGAGGAGGAGCCCGCGCACGAUUAGCUAGUUGGUGAGGUAAUGGCUCACCAAGGCUAUGAUCGUUAGCUGGUCUGAGAGGAUGGCCAGCCACACUGGAACUGAGACACGGUCCAGACUCCUACGGGAGGCAGCAGUGGGGAAUCUUGCACAAUGGGCGAAAGCCUGAUGCAGCGACGCCGCGUGGGGGAUGAAGCUUCUCGGAGUGUAAACCCCUUUCGACCCGGACGAAUACCUCGCAAGAGGGGUGACGGUACGGGUAUAAGAAGCCCCGGCUAACUACGUGCCAGCAGCCGCGGUAAGACGUAGGGGGCCAGCGUUGUUCGGAAUUACUGGGUGUAAAGGGUUCGUAGGCGGUGUGGCAAGUCGGGAGUGAAAUCUCUGGGCUCAACUCAGAGACUGCUUCCGAAACUGCUGUGCUUGAGUGUGGGAGAGGCGCGUGGAAUUGCAGGUGUAGCGGUGAAAUGCGUAGAUAUCUGCAGGAACACCCGUGGCGAAAGCGGCGCGCUGGACCACUACUGACGCUGAGGAACGAAAG